rnacentral:misc_RNA from 1 species
AAUAAUGCCGGAGUCCUCAUAAAAUGUAACUGCAUUGAAUUCCCUGAUUCCUUCACACGGUUUGUUAAUCAAAUCUACCGCCGCUUGGUUGCUGCCUAGCCCGUUUACAAGAGUUCCAGCCUCAACAAACAACUCCAAUUAACAGUGUUGAUUAGAUUAUCCAUAAUGAAAAAGUAAUUGCAGAAGUAGCUUUCAAAUUGAUUAUACUUAUGGAGCUGUUCUGAUGCUAUUAUGCUUAUUCUCAUUGUUAUUGAUCGCUGCAAAUUUCACCAUUAAAGUCUCCAAUUAAUUCCAAAUUAAAUCCUUCUAAUCAUAAAAAAAGGCAUUAGCAAUCAACAUAUUAUUCAUUAAAAAUUAUUUCAAAUGUAAUGAAAGAAAUUAACAACAAUCUUAAAAAACUUGGUACUCCCAAGUCCUAGAACCCUAGAAAAAUAAGCCCAAUCUCCAACGAAAAGAAUAAUAAAAGGUUAAUCCUUCCUCUUACGAAUUUUGUACGAAGCAGGAGUUAUCGACGACAACCCCAGACCAGGAAAUACGCUGUCAAGCUCUCUCUGGACAUUCGUGAUUCUCUUCUUCUUCUUCCUCCUUGGCAAUUUGGCCCCAAUUAUGGCCAAAAUAUCCUUUUCAAUCUCCUCUUUUGGAAGUGUAAUACCGAAACUUGGUGUCAUCUUCUUGUUCUUGUCCCUCUUAUCUACCUCUACUUGAUCAACUUCCCUUUUCUUCCACGCCGCUGAUCUAUUGGGCCUCAGAUUCCAAUUCUUUGGCGAUGCUUUGCCAUCUAUUUUUCUGCCAAUUAAGUUCUGAUCAUCCCCAGAAUCAAACUUGGUGUUGUUAGUAAAGGAAGGCAAAAUCUGUGACGAAGACGAUUCACUUUGGAUCGGAAAACUCAACGUUGUUGGAUUAUUCCGUGUGUCGUUGAGUGAGAUAGCUUUGGCGUGAGUUGGUACAGGCAUUUGUGUAAAUGAUAGAUGCAAACGAUGGGGGUUAGGGCGGUCGGCUACCCACCGAACCAUGAAGGAGAAAUUCUGCUGUAGAGAUUGCUCUUCUGAAGAGACUUCUGACAUCAUUAUCGAGGGGUUUG